UCUUGAACUUCUUCCAUUUUCUAAUAAUUGCGCCAAGAGUUGUUGCCUUCUCACCAAGCUGCUUACCUAUUGUCCUGUAGCCCAUCCCAGCCUUGUGCAGGUCUACAAUUUUAUCCCUGAUGUCCUUACACAGCUCUCUGGUCUUGGCCAUUGUGGAGAGGUUGGAGUCUGUUUGAUUAAGUGUGUGGACAGGUGUCUUUUAUGCAGGUAACGAGUUCAAACAGGUGCAGUUAAUAAUGGUAAUGAGCGGAGAACAGGAGGGUUUCUUAUAGAAAAACUAGAGCCGGAAUUCUUACUGGUUGGUAGGUGAUCAAGUACUUAUGUCAUGCAAUAAAAUGCUAAUUAAUGAUUUAAAAAUUAUACAAUGUGAUUUUCUGGAUUUUUGUUUUAGAUUCCGUCUCUCACAGUUGAAGUGUACCUAUGAUAAAAAUUACAGACCUCUACAUGCUUUGUAAGUAGGAAGCACUGCCGAUUUUGCAGGUUAUCAAAUACUUGUUCUCCCCACUGUAUACCACCAGAAAGUUCUUUUUUGGGGGGUGGGGGGGGUUAGUCUGUGUCUUCAGAAGGUUCUUGGGUCUUUAGGCAGGUCUGGAUGGUCAAUAAAGAAGAUAACUGUCAAUAGCUUCGAGAGUGCAAUGUGAGGAAUCAUUUUGUCAAUAACCCAAUAUGCCAAAUGUGUCCUAAAGUCCCCCUCUUCCUCUUUGGUAUCUCAAACUCAGCAUCUUCUAAACAGGGGUUGGUUCUUUGCUGUGCCACAUUGAUUGCAGUUUGCCCAUGGCCUAUUGGAUCCAAGCCAUGAUGACUUUCACUUUGAAGAGCAUGUGCCCCAGUGGUCCAGUCCGGAAGAGCAACAGCCAAAGCAGAAGCGGCUGGGGCUAAACUAGCAGCUACAGUCUCCUGUAUGUCUUUCUGAACUCCCCUCACUAUUCUCCUCCUUUUAGUCCAGUAACUUGACAUGGUUAACGUACCUUUCACUUAAAGCACAAAGGUGUAGCACUUCUCUCAUCGUUUAAAAACAAGAAAUGGACAGUGACGAG
ensembl:lncRNA